GAUGAACGCUGGCGGCGUGCCUAAUACAUGCAAGUCGAGCGAACAGAUGAGGAGCUUGCUCCUCUGACGUUAGCGGCGGACGGGUGAGUAACACGUGGAUAACCUACCUAUAAGACUGGGAUAACUUCGGGAAACCGGAGCUAAUACCGGAUAAUAUAUCGAACCGCAUGGUUCAAUAGUGAAAGACGGUUUUGCUGUCACUUAUAGAUGGAUCCGCGCCGCAUUAGCUAGUUGGUAAGGUAACGGCUUACCAAGGCAACGAUGCGUAGCCGACCUGAGAGGGUGGUCGGACACACUGGAACUGAGACACGGUCCAGACUCCUGCGGGAGGCAGCAGUAGGGAAUCUUCCGCAAUGGGCGAAAGCCUGACGGUGCAACGCCGCGUGAGUGAUGAAGGUCUUCGGAUCGUAAAACUCUGUUAUUAGGAGAGAACAAAUGUGUAAGUAACUAUGCACGUAUUGACGGUACCUAGACAGAAAGCCACGGCUAACUACGUG
rnacentral:rRNA from 1 species